CUUCUUCAUCUGAGGCUGCCUU
rnacentral:siRNA from 1 species